UGGGGAAUAUUGGACAAUGGGGGCAACCCUGAUCCAGCCAUGCCGCGUGAGUGAUGAAGGCCCUAGGGUUGUAAAGCUCUUUCGGCGGGGACGAUAAUGACGGUACCCGCAGAAGAAGCCCCGGCUAACUUCGUGCCAGCAGCCGCGGUAAUACGAAGGGGGCUAGCGUUGCUCGGAAUCACUGGGCGUAAAGCGCACGUAGGCGGAUCUUUAAGUCAGGGGUGAAAUCCCAAGGCUCAACCUUGGAACUGCCUUUGAUACUGGGGAUCUCGAGUCCGGAAGAGGUUGGUGGAACUCCGAGUGUAGAGGUGAAAUUCGUAGAUAUUCGGAAGAACACCAGUGGCGAAGGCGGCCAACUGGUCCGGCACUGACGCUGAGGUGCGAAAGCGUGGGGAGCAAACA
rnacentral:rRNA from 1 species